GAUGAACGCUGGCGGCGUGCCUAAUACAUGCAAGUCGAGCGAGCGGACGAGAAGCUUGCUUCUCUGAUGUUAGCGGCGGACGGGUGAGUAACACGUGGAUAACCUACCUAUAAGACUGGGAUAACUUCGGGAAACCGGAGCUAAUACCGGAUAAUAUUUUGGACUGCAUGGUUCAAAAGUGAAAGACGGUCUUGCUGUCACUUAUAGAUGGAUCCGCGCUGCAUUAGCUAGUUGGUAAGGUAACGGCUUACCAAGGCAACGAUGCAUAGCCGACCUGAGAGGGUGAUCGGCCACACUGGAACUGAGACACGGUCCAGACUCCUACGGGAGGCAGCAGUAGGGAAUCUUCCGCAAUGGGCGAAAGCCUGACGGAGCAACGCCGCGUGAGUGAUGAAGGUCUUCGGAUCGUAAAACUCUGUUAUUAGGGAAGAACAUAUGUGUAAGUAACUGUGCACAUCUUGACGGUACCUAAUCAGAAAGCCACGGCUAACUACGUGCCAGCAGCCGCGGUAAUACGUAGGUGGCAAGCGUUAUCCGGAAUUAUUGGGCGUAAAGCGCGCGUAGGCGGUUUUUUAAGUCUGAUGUGAAAGCCCACGGCUCAACCGUGGAGGGUCAUUGGAAACUGGAAAACUUGAGUGCAGAAGAGGAAAGUGGAAUUCCAUGUGUAGCGGUGAAAUGCGCAGAGAUAUGGAGGAACACCAGUGGCGAAGGCGACUUUCUGGUCUGUAACUGACGCUGAUGUGCGAAAGCGUGGGGAUCAAACAGGAUUAGAUACCCUGGUAGUCCACGCCGUAAACGAUGAGUGCUAAGUGUUAGGGGGUUUCCGCCCCUUAGUGCUGCAGCUAACGCAUUAAGCACUCCGCCUGGGGAGUACGACCGCAAGGUUGAAACUCAAAGGAAUUGACGGGGACCCGCACAAGCGGUGGAGCAUGUGGUUUAAUUCGAAGCAACGCGAAGAACUUUACCAAAUCUUGACAUCCUUUGACAACUCUAGAGAUAGAGCUUUCCCCUCCGGGGGACAAAGUGACAGGUGGUGCAUGGUUGUCGUCAGCUCGUGUCGUGAGAUGUUGGGUUAAGUCCCGCAACGAGCGCAACCCUUAAGCUUAGUUGCCAUCAUUAAGUUGGGCACUCUAAGUUGACUGCCGGUGACAAACCGGAGGAAGGUGGGGAUGACGUCAAAUCAUCAUGCCCCUUAUGAUUUGGGCUACACACGUGCUACAAUGGACAAUACAAAGGGCAGCGAAACCGCGAGGUCAAGCAAAUCCCAUAAAGUUGUUCUCAGUUCGGAUUGUAGUCUGCAACUCGACUACAUGAAGCUGGAAUCGCUAGUAAUCGUAGAUCAGCAUGCUACGGUGAAUACGUUCCCGGGUCU
rnacentral:rRNA from 1 species